UAUCUUCGGAUAUGAGUAGAGCGGCGGACGGGUGAGUAACGCGUAGGAAUCUACCUAGUAGAAGGGGAUAGCCCGAGGAAACUCGGAUUAAUACCGUAUACCUCCUUCGGGAGAAAGAAGGCCUCUCUUUGAAGCUUUCGCUACUAGAUGAGCCUGCGUAAGAUUAGCUUGUUGGUGAGGUAAAGGCUCACCAAGGCUACGAUCUUUAGCGGGUCUGAGAGGACGAUCCGCCACAUUGGGACUGAGACACGGCCCAGACUCCUACGGGAGGCAGCAGUGGGGAAUAUUGGACAAUGGGCGAAAGCCUGAUCCAGCCAUACCGCGUGUGUGAAGAAGGCCCUAGGGUUGUAAAGCACUUUAAGUUGGGAAGAAAAGUUAUUGGUUAAUACCCAAUGACCGUGACAUUACCAUCAGAAUAAGGACCGGCUAAUUCCGUGCCAGCAGCCGCGGUAAUACGGAAGGUCCAAGCGUUAAUCGGAAUUACUGGGCGUAAAGCGCGCGUAGGUGGUUUAUUAAGUUGGGUGUGAAAUCCCCGGGCUCAACCUGGGAACUGCAUCCAAAACUGAUUCACUAGAGUACGAUAGAGGGAGGUAGAAUUCACAGUGUAGCGGUGGAAUGCGUAGAUAUUGUGAAGAAUACCAAUGGCGAAGGCAGCCUCCUGGAUCUGUACUGACACUGAGGUGCGAAAGCGUGGGUAGCA
rnacentral:rRNA from 1 species